rnacentral:rRNA from 1 species
GUAGGUGGCAAGCGUUGUCCGGGAAUUAUUGGGCGUAAAGCGCGCGCAGGCGGUUCCUUAAGGUCUGAUGUGAAAGCCCACGGCUCAACCGUGGAGGGUCAUUGGAAACUGGAGAACUUGAGUACAGAAGAGGAAAGCGGAAUUCCACGUGUAGCGGUGAAAUGCGUAGAGAUGUGGAGGAACACCAGUGGCGAAGGCGGCUUUCUGGUCUGUAACUGACGCUGAAGCGCGAAAGCGUGGGGAGCAAACAGGAUUAGAUACCCUGGUAGUCCACGCCGUAAACGAUGAGUGCUAAGUGUUAGGGGGGUUUCCGCCCCCUUAGUGCUGCAGCUAACGCAUUAAGCACUCCGCCUGGGGAGUACGGCCGCAAAGGCUG